GGUGGCUUAGUGGUAGAGUGUUUGUCUUGCAUGCAUGAGGCCCUGGGUUCGAUUCCCCAGCACCA
rnacentral:tRNA from 1 species